AGUAUGCUUGGAUUUUGUAUCUGACUAUUAAAAGAAGCUUACUCUUAAAUGAUCUUUCUUUGGCAUAUAAGUCCUCCCCAGUAUCAGUAGAGUCAUGGUGUAUUAACAGGGAAUAUGAAGAUACUACAACCAAGAGAGCAAAACCCUAACAAGUUUAUAGCACUGGAAUGAGGCUGAGCUAGGAAGAGCUCAAAAGAAAAUCACUUUUGUGUGAAAUCAUCAAAAAACAGUCACUGAACUUGUGAACAUGUAUGGCUUCAGAGCACAUCUGGAUAUCUUCACCAAAAGAAAUUGAAAUGACUGCACUCUCCGGAUGGACCCUGAGCUUGGUUUGUCGGUUGCUUUGCUUGGGACUGCCAAUGGAUCCUGACACCAGCCUGAUGUGUUCAGACCCCGUGAGACAGCACCCAUCAGGAAAGGCACCAAGGAGGAUCCCAGCUUCUCUUCCCUCGUGGAGCAGCCCCACCCUCGCUACUUCCUGACAUUCUUGGAUCAUGUCUGGAGGUUAAACAGCUCCAGGUAGAUUGUAAAACAUCUCUCCUGUAUGGACUGGACACUAGAUGAAUAUUGCUGAGAGAAGGUGACAUGUAAUACUCACCAGAUGGCUUCAGCCCACACUGUACUUUUUAGAGGAGGACUGUCCUGUGCUGGUUUCUUACAAGCUGAUCUACUUUAGCUACUCAGAAAACAGCUGUGGUAGUUCUUAAGAACUGUUUACUGAUUGAAACCAUGUCAUAUUAUUAGAAACAUUUAUAAG